GAAAGAGUGUAGGCGUAGAUCACGGCAGGCAAAUCCGCCGUGAGAGUCGAACUUGAAAGUACAGGGUCCUCUUCGGAGGAACCUGAUAGCGAGGGUAAGCAUACUCCCGAGAAAAUCCGCUAAGCAAUCCUAAAGGUACCCGUACCGUAAACGGACACACGUAGUCGGGUAGAACAUACUAAGGCGUUGAGAGAUUCAUGGUUAAGGAACUAGGCAAACUGACCCCGUAACUUCGGGAUAAGGGGUCCUCGUGAAAGCGAGGCGCAGAGAAUAGGUCCAGGCAACUGUUUAACAAAAACACAGGGCUGUGCGAACUCGAAAGAUGAAGUAUACAGCCUGACACCUGCCCGGUGCCGGAAGGUUAAGAGGAGAUGUCAACCUUUAUGGCGAAGCAUUGAAUUGAAGCCCCGGUAAACGGCGGCCGUAACAAUAACGGUCCUAAGGUAGCGAAAUUCCUUGUCGGGUAAGUUCCGACCUGCACGAAUGGUGUAAUGAUCCGGACGCUGUCUCAACCAUGAGCUCAGUGAAAUUGUAGUAUCGGUGAAGAUGCCGAUUACCCGCGAUGGGACGAAAAGACCCCGUGAACCUUUACUACAGCUUAGCAUUGACCUUGGUCAUCCGAUGUGUAGGAUAGGCCGGAGGCUUCGAAGCGGCGUCGCCAGGCGUCGUGGAGCCAUCCUUGAAAUACGGCCCUUUGGCUGUCUGGGGUCUAACUCGCCAGUGCGAGGACACUGUUUGGUGGGUAGUUUGACUGGGGUGGUCGCCUCCAAAAGCGUAACGGAGGCUUCCAAAGGUGCCCUCGGGCCGAUUGGUAACCGGCCUUAUAGAGUGCAAUGGCAUAAGGGCGCUUGACUGGGAGGCAGACAUGCCGAGCAGGCAGGAAACUGGGGCAUAGUGAUCCGGCGGAUGUGUAUGGAAACUCCGUCGCUCAAAGGAUAAAAGGUACUCCGGGGAUAACAGGCUGAUCCCCCCCAAGAGCUCAUAUCGACGGGGUGGUUUGGCACCUCGAUGUCGGCUCGUCACAUCCUGGGGCUGGAGAAGGUCCCAAGGGUUGGGCUGUUCGCCCAUUAAAGUGGCACGCGAGCUGGGUUCAGAACGUCGUGAGACAGUUCGGUCUCUAUCUAUCGUGGGCGCAGGAGUUUUGAGUGGUGCCGUCACUAGUACGAGAGGACCGUGAUGGACAGACCUCCGGUUUGCCAGUUGUGCCGCCAGGCGCACCGCUGGGUAUCCGAGUCUGGUUAGGAUAAGCGCUGAAAGCAUCUAAGUGCGAAGCCAUCCGCAAGAUGAGAACUCCAUUGAGGGUCGUUGUAGACGACGACGUAGAUAGGCUGCAGGUGUAAAGACGGUGACGUCAAAGCCGAGCAGUACUAAUUGCCCGA
rnacentral:rRNA from 1 species